rnacentral:rRNA from 1 species
GAUGAACGCUGGCGGCGUGCCUAAUACAUGCAAGUCGAGCGAACAGACGAGGAGCUUGCUCCUCUGACGUUAGCGGCGGACGGGUGAGUAACACGUGGAUAACCUACCUAUAAGACUGGGAUAACUUCGGGAAACCGGAGCUAAUACCGGAUAAUAUAUUGAACCGCAUGGUUCAAUAGUGAAAGACGGUUUUGCUGUCACUUAUAGAUGGAUCCGCGCCGCAUUAGCUAGUUGGUAAGGUAACGGCUUACCAAGGCAACGAUGCGUAGCCGACCUGAGAGGGUGAUCGGCCACACUGGAACUGAGACACGGUCCAGACUCCUACGGGAGGCAGCAGUAGGGAAUCUUCCGCAAAGGGCGAAAGCCUGACGGAGCAACGCCGCGUGAGUGAUGAAGGCCUUCGGAUUGUAAAACUCUGUUAUUAGGGAAGAACAAAUGUGUAAGUAACUAUGCACGUCUUGACGGUACCUAAUCAGAAAGCCACGGCUAACUACGUG